GUAGGUGGCAAGCGUUGUCCGGAAUUAUUGGGCGUAAAGCGCGCGCAGGCGGUUCUUUAAGUCUGAUGUGAAAGCCCACGGCUCAACCGUGGAGGGUCAUUGGAAACUGGAGAACUUGAGUACAGAAGAGGAAAGCGGAAGUCCACGUGUAGCGGUGAAAUGCGUAGAGAUGUGGAGGAACACCAGUGGCGAAGGCGGCUUUCUGGUCUGUAACUGACGCUGAGGCGCGAAAGCGUGGGGGAGCAAACAGGAUUAGAUACCCUGGUAGUCCACGCCGUAAACGAUGAGUGCUAAGUGUUAGGGGGUUUCCGCCCCUUAGUGCUGCAGCUAACGCAUUAAGCACUCCGCCUGGGAGUACGGCCGCAAGGCUG
rnacentral:rRNA from 1 species